UACGUAGGGUGCAAGCGUUGUCCGGAAUUAUUGGGCGUAAAGAGCUCGUAGGCGGCUUGUCGCGUCGUCCGUGAAAACCUGCAGCUCAACUGCAGGCUUGCGGUCGAUACGGGCAGGCUGGAGUUCGGUAGGGGAGACUGGAAUUCCUGGUGUGAGCGGUGAAAUGCGCAGAUAUCAGGAGGAACACCGGUGGCGAAGGCGGGUCUCUGGGCCGAUACUGACGCUGAGGAGCGAAAGCGUGGGGAGCGAACAGG
rnacentral:rRNA from 1 species